AUUGAACGCUGGCGGCAGGCCCAACACAUGCAAGUCGAGCGGUAACACAGGGAGCUUGCUCCUGGGUGACGAGCGGCGGACGGGUGAGUAAUGUCUGGGAAACUGCCUGAUGGAGGGGGAUAACUACUGGAAACGGUAGCUAAUACCGCAUAACGUCACAAGACCAAAGAGGGGGACCUUCGGGCCUCUUGCCAUCAGAUGUGCCCAGAUGGGAUUAGCUAGUAGGUGGGGUAACGGCUCACCUAGGCGACGAUCCCUAGCUGGUCUGAGAGGAUGACCAGCCACACUGGAACUGAGACACGGUCCAGACUCCUACGGGAGGCAGCAGUGGGGAAUAUUGCACAAUGGGCGCAAGCCUGAUGCAGCCAUGCCGCGUGUAUGAAGAAGGCCUUCGGGUUGUAAAGUACUUUCAGCGGGGAGGAAGGCGAUAAGGUUAAUAACCUUGUCGAUUGACGUUACCCGCAGAAGAAGCACCGGCUAACUCCGUGCCAGCAGCCGCCGUAA
rnacentral:rRNA from 1 species